AUUUGGGAGCCAUCUUCUACUUUAGAAAGUUCUUUUGGUCUUUUUGUCUCCAUCAAAUUAAUUUUAAUAUGAAAGAAUAAUGUCUUAUCUCAUGAUUGAAAUAGUGGAUUAACAUUUAAAGAAAAUUCUGUUCACAUUAUCUGCAUCCUCUUAAUAUUUUAGGAUAAUAAUCCAGUUUCUGAUUAUUAGAUAAGUUUUAGUAGCUAUGUUUUCUAAAUUCCAAUUACUGUUUUUAAUGCUUUGUUUUCUAAUGGAACCUAAUGGAAUGAGUUAGUCCUUAUCCUUUACAUCUUCUUCUUGCGUGUGCUUGCUAUAUCAUUUGAAACUAACUAUGGUUGUGGAGGUGCCAUUUACUUACCUGCCUUUUCUGAACUUGUUUUUUCAUGUCUGUGAGUUUCAAGAGCUAGUUUUCUUGAGUGAAUACUCAGCAAAUGGGAACGUUUUUCCAGAAAGUCGUUGUAAAAUGCUAAGUAAAGGUACUAAGACUGAUAUUCUUUUGUUUUUCUCUUUUUGUGGGACCAACUGUGAAAGAAAGAUGAUUUUUUCUGUGCGUGUGAGAACAGGUGAAUUUCCCUAAUGUCUGCAUUUGAUUUCCAUUACAUACUUUCAGAAUUUACAAACUGGUCAAACUGUUCAUAGCAAGCGUCAGAGAAAUUAUUGUUCUAAAAAAUAACAGAAUUUGCCCAUGUAUUCAAAUUUAAGCAUUAUUUCUAAUCAUGACUUUACAUAUAGAUUUAGCCCCUUUGUAUGUACACAUUCUAUUUUAGGAAUUCAUUUUUAUGUCAAAUAUACUUGCCUUUUUGUUAGUUUAAAAUUACAAAAUCAAGAUUUUAAAAAGUUUUGAGAAUCCAUCAGAAUCAAUAUGAAAUAUGACAUAAUAAACACUGAGAGGUGAUUUUUCUGCUGAAUACAGACAAUUUUCACUGUGCCAGUUUGUACGCUCUCUGAAUGUGACAUUGGCAUUAUAUUGUCCUGCUUUCUAAUUUGCACCUGUUUGUGUUCAUCCAUCUGGCUAAGUGUGAGAUUCUGAAAUCUAUGCUUCUGCCAAAUAUAACCAGUGUUUAACACAUGCUUAUGCGCAUAUAUAGAUGUCUGCUUAGUCAUAUUUUUCUACCAUAUGCCUUGCUUUUCAAUUUGAAAUGACUUUAUUGCUUUAUUAAAAAAAAAAAUAAUGGGCUAAUAACUUUAUUGCAUGAAGAAUGAAUCAUCUUUCACCGAGCUUUUUGGUUCUUGCUUAUCUUUCAGUGUGUGCAUAUUCAACAAAUUAGCUAUUUCUCUCUAUUUUUUGGUCUAUAAACACAUUUUUUUUUUAGCCACAGAUUAUGUAUAAUUAGUGACUAAAGUGAAUAAAGCUUUUAAGACGUAAAUAAAAUUCACUUUCAUAAUAUUUACUGAGUGGUUUCUGCAUAGAAAAGGAGAAAAGAAAUUCUAGGAAGGGCAACUUAGGGACUUUAAGGUGGUGAGAAAGGCUGAGCUUCUGAGUGGCUGGGAGGACGGGAGCACUCUUUUUCUCCUCUUUGUCUCUUCACAGCUACUCAAAUCCAUUUGUCAAUCAUUUAGGUAUAUACAAUCUACCUGCCUCCUUAUGUUAAUUUUUACGCUACCCAUUACAUAAUAGUGGUUCAAUAUUCCUCCCCAGAAAUGUAGUUUAUUCUGCUGCCUUGCUGUAGUGAAUGAUGGGGAGGAGAAGGAAGCAGAGACACCGAGACUGACUCUGCCUCUGCAGAGGGACUUGGUUGGAAUAAUCAGUGAGCUAAUGGAGCAACACGAUUAUCUUGUCCACUUUGUUGAGCAGGUAUUUUCAGAAGAAGAAAGACUCAAUUACAAGCUUAAAGGUGACUGACUCUAGAUGUAUGCAGAACUGCACCAUUUCUAAUGAUCAAGUGCUUCUUUCUGCCUCUAAUUAUGAAUAUGUUUUUGCUGUAAAACUGUCUGUGUUUGGCGUGCUUCUGAGCAGAUUUGUUCAUGAGAUUAAUGUGAACAGAUGGCAAGGUGAGCAUCACAGCAGUGCCUAAAAUAUGGACCAUGGUUUGAAGGUCUGCCUUGUUCCGGCAAAGGACAGUACUGAUGCUGUGUAACUGUGCUACAAAGCACAAUGGUAUGCAGAUUUCUUUACAAAAGGAGAAGUCCUCUUCUUUGCAGCUGUUUGAAGUCUAAUAGCUACAGUGGCAAUUAGUUUAAUUUACAUAAUGAUUCCACAGGCUAAAAUAUUAGCUGUCCUAUAAAUGACUGAAAAGUCUGUUUGUUAAUACACAGCUUCUGUGCAGUUAUUACAAAUGUCUGACAUAAUCUUUGGGCAGAAGUACAGACUGAGGAAACUGAAUAUGAAAGUAAACUACUUUUUGGAUAUAUCUAUGCCAUUUCUGUUAUUCUAAUAAAUACAUUCAGUAGCCUUUUUCAUUUUGUAUAAUCAAUGAUCGCAAAACAAAAACUCUUUCUAUGCAUUUGAAUUGCAUUUGAAGUUGAGAUUAGAAUGCAGUGUAUUAGUUUUUUUCUGAUGACUUUCAGUGAGAAUUAGUCUUUCUUUAAACUGCUUUAGAAUUUGAGGACUAGAAAUAAUGGUUGAAGAUAAUUUCUCCUGGAAAGAGUCCAGUGGGGGGCCUGGAGCAUCUCCCCUCUGAGGAAAGGCUGGGUGACCUGGGUCUGUUCAGCCUCAAGAAAAGAAGACUGAGAUGAGAUCUUGUUAAUGUUUAUAAAUACAUUAAAUGUGAGAGAAAGGGAUAUGGCCAACCUCCUUUCAGUGGUCUGUAGGGACAGGAUAAGAGGAAAUGGCCACAAACUGGAGCAUAGGGAGUUCCCCUCCAAUAUGCAAGAGAACUUCUUUACAGUGAGGGUGACAGAACACAGGAACAGGCUGCCCAGGGAAGCUGUGGAUUCUCCUUCUCUGGAGAUAUUCAAGACCUGCCUGGACACCUACCUGUGCAACCUGCUGUAGGGGGCCUGCUUUGCAGAGGGACUGGACUUGAUGAUCUCUAGAGGUCCCUUCCAACCCCUACAAUUUCGCGAUUCUGUGAUAAAUAAAUAAAUGGGUAUCAGAGACAACCGACAGCCAGUGCUUUGUCACCCUCACAGUAAAGAAGUUUCUUUUCAUGGUCAUAUGGAACUUCCUGUGUUCCAUUUUGUGCCUGUUGCCCCUUGACCUGUUUCUGGGCACCACAGAUAGGUUUGUGCCCAAUUUGAGAUUAUUUACAUCUCAUGAUUAAGAGCUUCUUGGCCGCCAUUUACUGUGAACUUGGUUUUUGUCAGGUAUCUAACUCAGGACAUGACAGUCUUAGACUGUAAAUCGUAGUUCUUCAAAAUGAAGUUUUCUAGUGGACAAGUAAUUCAUUCAUUAGAAUUGCAUCUUUCAGAAAAUUGAUAUGAUGUGUGAGUCUUUAUUUGUGUAACAGUUUAUACCAAAAACCGCAAGGGGUUCUGUAAAAAACGAGAUGAUUUGGAAAAGAAACAUUUAGAUUUUGUGUCAAAACAAUUUAGCUAAAUUUGCUUUAAAUUAGUGUAAAAACAAGUCCAAAUUAAACCCAUCAGCCAGUCUCCACUUUCCUGCACUUCCCAAAUUACUUUGCCCUGCUAGAUGCCAGACAUAAGCGUUCAUGCUGAUUUCUUCAUUAUGCUAUUUACUAUCUGAAGAAAAGAAAUAAUUGUAGGAAACGUAUUUCUAAUUGUGAAUAGUAUGAGCUUGACAUUGCUGUAGAUUUUUCUCUGUUAAUAUGGAUUGGAAACAAAAAGAUUUAUUCUGAUGUUUUCUAUCUUGCCAGACAGUUUCAAAUUAGACCAGAAUUUCUUAGUCUCUGAUGGCUGUGUUCCUGGAAUAUUCAAUAUGUCAAACAUAUAAAGUUAGCAAUACAAAUCUAAAAUAUUUUGGUGUGUCACAUUUGAUUCUCAGAGUUACGGGACGCAUUGUGUCAAUGUGAUUAAUGACUAAUUAGGCAGUCCUGUAGGUGAGCAGAGUACAAUUAUAGUUCCGUACUGACAAGGACUUUUAGCACUACAUAUGUUAGUUUUUAAGAAAUGGCAAUUUAAGUUUCUCAUUAGGCAUACUGUGCUGUAGCCUAGAAAUAUUCAUGACUUUUUUUCCAGCUUGUUGAAUUUUCCAUAGCAUUUGAAGCAACUAAACUGUGAAGGGGUGUAAGAAAAUUGAACUAGAGAAUAGAACAUCAUGUAUUAACUCAGAGAAUCUAAACUGAUCCAACAAGAUUUUACCAGAAGUGCAUAACAUAAGCAAUCAGUCAUCACUACAGGUCACAAUCUAUUGUUGGCUGCAGUAGACAUCAGUAAAUGUAACAUAAAACAUUGCAUAAUUGUCAGAUAAUCUUGAAGGCCUCUUCAGUGUUAAAUGAGAAAAGAGAUUGUUCUCCAACAACAGAAUUUUUCAUAAUUUGCUCACUAAACUGCAUGCAUUUCUUACAUAAAAUGCAUUUUGUUGCUUUCUGAAAGCACUGUCAUCUCAGCAGUGCGGGUAUGAGGACCGAAAGUUUAUCUUCUAGAAAAUACUUAGUAGGACUUUUUUUCCUUUGGGAACAAACAACCAAACAAAAAAUAGUUAUGAUCUUGACAGCUCUUGCAUGCAUUGUGAAUUUCUGAAACAUCUCUGAGUUCCAGAGAACAAUUACAGGCAAUAUCCAUUAGCUUCUCAAGCAGGGGUCACAGAACGGGGAGUACGGCAUGCAGAAUGUUUUCCAUGGCUACCAAUGGACAAGGGAGAAGUUACAACUUCCACUGUCAGUGUUAUUCUGAUGGCUAUAAUUUGCUGAGUACUUGGCAAAUGUAUGCAGCAAGGCUUAUUUCAAAUUUAUGACAGAGAAACUUCGUUGGAUGCUCCAAAAAUAAUCCCUUCUAUUUAUUUCCACGGAAACUACAACAGGCAUGAAGAGCACAGAACACUGUUUGAUAGAACAAAUACAGCUACAAAACACUGUAUUUCAACAUAUUUACCACCAUUAGUUAUGCAUUUUUGCAAGCGAUGAGCAUGUGCCUGCAUGCUAUUCUUGUAAAAAUCUCCAUGGUCGUCUGAAAUGUGGUUUGUCUUAUAUGCCAUUGUCACCACUGCUGAAGUGCACCACCCACCACCUCACUGCGUUCAAGUUUACUGUUUGGUCUCCAGAAAUGUUCCAUAAGUAUCAGUGAGUGUCAGUCUGCCGUUUUUCUUCUGAACAGAGGAAUUCAGUGACACACCCUUGCUCCAUAAGCACUUCCAUGUCAGACACCUUUUUGCCAGACUGCCCCUCUGCUGCCAUCUGUCGCAUGGCAACAACAUGUAAUGGAAUAUUGGUGGGAAGGUUCAUCCUCUACUGCCACACCACCAACGUCUGCCUCUGAUAUUGUGGGCCAACAUAAUAAAAUAGAAGGCAUUACUCCCUGAACAGCCCUUGUGUAUGGUCAGCUGUAUAUUCUGACCUUGCAUAGUGACGUUUGUUACCAGCAAUUCCUUUAGAGAGAUUUUUUUUGAUUCUUCAGAAAAUUAUUAAGAUGCUUAAAUACAGGCAUGAUUUCUGUAGUGGAAUUAGGGUGAAAUAAACUGGAAGAAUGCCAGAUCAAUUUCUAAUGUGCUUCAAGUUUAGAAUAUUAGUGUAAAUGAAGACUGAUUUUAACCCUUGGUUUUGUGUUUUUGGCUUACAAAACUAGGAGAUGACAAACCUACAAAUGGUACUAUGAAGGGACUUAGAGGGCUUUACAUAUUGGGGAGAAAGUGGUAUCUUUAGUGUCUGUGAAGCAUUCAUACUUUAAACAAUUAUAGCUGUAUGUUCUUUAUUGGGAAUCAUGCAAAAAGGAAAAAAAACAACUAUUUUUGUUCUUGGCUCUUAGAAAAAGUAUUUACUUGUUUUAAAACUGUUCUUUGAAUCCAGUGUCACCAAAGAGGUGUUCAUAAAACAUGUGCUGCAGUGUACAUUGUCAUCUUUAGAUUCUGGGAAUGAGCUAUAUUGGUGAGUUAUUUCUGUUUGUUAAUUGCAAAAUAACAGCAAUUUUGAUUUGAAAUUUUUGUUAGUCACAGUCUGACAGUUCUCAGAGGGGUGGUAGAUAACCUUCUAUGUCCUGCAAAGGGAUUAGAAAAUGCUGCCUUGGGAAUUAAAUAAUUAUUUUAGUGUAAAUGAGUCCAAAUGCAGCCUAUCCAAAAAUGAAAAGAGAUUAGAGAUUUGAAAAGAAAUACGAAGAUAAUGCUUUUGGAUGUAAACUCUAUUCAUCAUGCCAAUGUUUCAACUCAUAAAGUCAAUGCUUUUAACAUUUUCUAAAGGAAACAGUUUGUGAAUGACUGUUUCUAAGAAAGGGCACCUAUUUAAGAGAGAGGGGGACCUCCUUUAAACCAGAAGGAAACUAGGCUGUUGGCAAUUAGCAUCAAGAAGAUUGAAAGAAGGUUUUGAAACUGUGGAGCUUUAAGAAGACUAACAGGUACAGAACAGAAUGUGGUUCACUGUGACAUUCCUACAGCUGAAGAUAUUAAAAUUCUCUGUCCUAGGUGUGGUACUUCUCACAAGAUGGAACUAAGCAAAAAUGCAUCAAACCAUCAAAUAGAUCAAACCAUCAAAUGAAUUUUGGUAGAAUCAAAUCUGUGUGAUUCUGUAAUAGUAGAAGACACAUCAUACAGAAAGGACAAAUCAAACCAUGCCUCUAUUGGAAUAGAAGCGUGUUACUGCAAUGACCAGCUCCUGGAGCACUAUCUGUAAACUGGGUUGUGUUGCUAUACAGGUUUACAGGUGGGCUCCUGGAAAGGAUGGAAGCGCCUUGAUCUGAGAUUAUUGUUUAGACUUCUUUUACAUGCAGUGGGUAGGAAUGGGCACUCUCAUCUCAUUUUGAAAUAGAAAUCUGAAAUAAUUCACACAAAUUAGGUCCUAAAAGUGACCAUUUUCUCUCUGUUCACUAUAAAGAAAGCAUAAAGGGACUAGCUAAGCUACAGACACCGUUGAAGUACACAACAUGAAUCCUGCCUAAAGUGACAUUGAAAGUAGGCCACACAGACUUCAAAGUUCUUGAACUGUCAGGAGAAAUGACAAGGAAACAGUAGUCAUGCAGAUUCUCUGGAAACAGAAUUGAGUUUCUUUUUCCUUGCUUGUCUUUUUUUUCUGUUUUUUAGUUUAUGAAGAAGCCUUUUAGCAAUCGAAUAAUUUUUAAGAAUUUAGACUCUUUUAGAUGUAGUGAGUUCUUCUAUUUUUUCCAGUAAAACUCUGUGUAAUCCUGUCUACAAAGUGAAGGGUAAACCAGCUGUAUUCUGUCUUCAGAUUUUUAAAUGAGGUUAUCUGUUCGGUUUGUUUGGAUGUGAUUCAUUUUACCAGUGGACCAAAGCAUUCAUCUACAUUCUUUUAAAAACUCACAGCAUUUUUAAAUUGUUAAUUAGGAAAAUGGAGGGAAAAGGGUGCUUUGCUUAACAGGAAAACAAUCUUUAAAGAAAUCAGUACACAUGCAUUUUGUUCUCACUGUACUCAUUCAGCAUAUUAUGGAAAUACAUAAACCAGUAUAAACAAAGGAGUACUAAGGUUUUAAUUCAUGAAGAAGUAGAUCAGUGGGGUGAAAAAGAGAUAUAAAAUUUCUAAAAAUUGCCUUUUAGAAUAACUUUGGAAUUGCUUCAGUAAAAUCCCCAAAGAACCUGUUUUUGUUGGGCAAAAGAAUGCGAGUGUAUUAAAAUUCAAUAUUUCUGUGUAAUUUGAAAUCUGUGCUGCCUGAAUUACUGUGUAUCGAAUUAGUUUGCUACAAACAAUAGCAAAAUGGGUGACUGUUCAAGUAAAAGCAGUGGGUUAUUUAAAUUCACAUUAUCGUAUUUAGUGAGAUGCUGUGAAAGUGGCAAUGUGUAAUUUAUACAUGAUCUAAAUCAGUCUGUUUUGUAGCACGACGUACCUCUUUCAUUAAUGUUUACCUAAAAAUAAUUUAGUUUCUAGUACAGCAAAGAAAUUCCUUUCACUUUGUUGAGUGAAAAACACCAUAUCUCAGUGAGUGUUUGUUUAAGGUGUUAGAUCAUACUUGUCUAAUCAUGAGCAGAGGUUUUAAACCUUUAUUUAGUCUCUGGAAACUUCUCUGAGGGCUUUAGACUUAAUAGGUUUAGGUCUCCAUUAAAUUCACUUCUUCAUCUAUUACCUGAAACAAACAAACAAACAAAAAAAUAACCAUAAAGAGAAUAGAAUUUAGCAAUAAUGAAAUACCUGUUAAAAACAUAGGCAGAAAUGUAGAUAGUCAUGUGAAUUUAGUCAGUACAUCACUCAGUUCAGGUGGGUUAAGGAGUACUGCUCUAUGGACUUGCCAACCAAAAAGAAUUACUUUAGAAUUAAAGAAAAAGAAUGUAAUGAUUUAUCACCUUCUCCAAAAGGCUUUCAUUGUCACUCUUCUGUCUCCUUUGUAAAGGUGAAGCUCUUUUUUUGACGUGAUCCAACCUUUCCUUUCUUUUCCCAUCUGAACAGAUUCAGUGCUAUGUUUUACAUGUUUAAAUGUAUUUGUGAUUCAUGGCACGUUUUUCUAGUGUACUCUGCUGCCUUUUGCACUUUAUUUAGUUCCUUUUAUUGAACGUUUAAUUUUUGUGACUGGCAGUUUACAUUUUCUUAGGCCUUUUUGAAUGCAGAUCUCCACUAGAUCUGUUCAAAUGGUUUUGGGGAUUUAUGUUUUCUGUCCUAUGUUCUCAUUCUUGAUUACUUUCACAGUCUCUGAACUCUCUAUCACAUUUAUGAAGCAGGCCUUUCAUUAUUUUGAUAAGAUGCUGAGCGGAAGAACUACUUUGAAUCAAAGCAUUUACCCUUGUAUUUGGACUCAAAAUCUUAAAAUAUAAGUUUGAAAUGCUUUAAUAAUGUCAAUGUUUUAAGAUUAUGCACAAGUUGUUGUUGAAUGAACAAAAAUUGAAUUAUUGUACUGAUUUUUCCAUAGAAAACCAGAGAUUUACUGUACGUUCAAAGUGUGUUUUAUCAUUUAAAGAUGAUUAUUGUUUUUCCCCCUUGGAGAUUUGAACACUGAAAUUUCUGGAGGAAUAAUUGUAUGCCAGUCCAACAGUAUUUUUUCAACUUCAAGGACUCUUAAUCAGUGUGUUAGGCAAUUUCUCAUUCUUAACUGGUUUUGUCUUUGAUUUUUAUUCUAGAAGUGCAGUGCCUAAUUGCAAAUGAGUUCCAUGAAAAUGCAAAGUACCAUUUAUCUCGUUAGUUUUUUCUUUUUUUUAAAUAUAUAUAUAUAUAUUAUUUAAAUCGCUGUUAUCUUUCUGUUGCCUGUGCAUUCUUCUUCUUUUUCUUCUUCUUCUUCCUCUUCUUUUUUCCCUUUCUUUUUUCUUUUUCAUCAUUACAUACUUAUUUUACCCUUUGGAAUAAGCUCUGCGUGUUUAUCUACUAAUAAGCUAUUAUAAUGCCUUGUAGGAAAAUUAAAAAGAAAAAUCUGUCUCACAGCUUUGCUGAAAGGAUGAAGCUUAGUGUUGUUGUUAGAAUUUGUUUCAUUAAUUACUAUUUAAGUACAAAGCGCUGAUGAUUCAGAGGAUCUAGAGGAAAGCUAAAUCAAGUUGAUUAUGCAUUUUUUUCCCCUCAAAGCUGUAAGGAAAGUGACUAAGUUUUGCUCUUAGGCGUUGUCACAGCAUCUUCUCACACUUUGGGAUGUGUUUGCCAGAGAUAUUUUCUACAUUUGUCCAAGAGCUGAAAAACAUGCUUCUAAUCAGAGGUUUCCUUCAUGCAAUAUGGGUUCUGUCUGCUACAUCCCCUUUUCAUUCAUCUCCUUCUGGCAUAAGCAGAGCAGCAGCAGUAUUAUGUGUUGUUUUGGGCCAGGAGUACUGGAAGGAAUAUAUUUGAGGUAAUUGCUGAGUUUCUCAGAGGAGUCAUAAUCACAACCAUGGAGAUGUUUUAGUGCUCAGAUUACUCCGCACUCUCCUUAUUCUUUGACACCUUCUAGCUCCUCUGGUCUCCCUGUAGAAGACAGUACAAGGCUGCAGCCUUGGCCAUAAUUAAGUCAUAUUGUAACACUAUAACUACUUUUGUCCAUUCAUGCACUCAAGGGGACCUGAGGAGGGAAGAAUUUUAAGGAAUAGGCAGUUGUAAGAAACAUAGACACACUGAAUAAUUUUAAUCUUUUGUAUAUUUGUAGAUAAUUUUAGCAUACUUCUUUUACAAAAAUAUUGAAAUUAGAUUUCUACUUCUCUUUGAAUGGGAGAUGUUUGUUCUGAUUUCAAGAAUGCACAGCCAAUUUAUAAAACACCAAAUGAGAUGAAAAAUCCUCAUUGAUACGGAACUAGCCAAUUUCUAGAUGAGCACAAUAAGUGAUUUAUGUGGUUGCUGCAAAAUGUCAGUAUGUUAGACUCGUCAGAUAUCUGAUCAGUAAGUUAUUGUGUAUUCUGACAGUCCUCCAUGAAGACAGAUUUGUUUUACUUUGCAUACAACAAUAAGUUGUUUCUGUGAUGGUUGCUUCAGAGAAUUUUUGUCAUCUGUGAAAUAGCUCUUUCAUGUAGUUUUUUGCUAUAUUUUUUCCUUCCUCCAUCUGCAUGGAAGAUACAAUUAGUAAGAGUAGUUAAAAAAGAAUAUAUAUCAAGAAGAAAAUCAAAUGAUUGAAAGUCUUUUAUGUUGUGGUUUCCAAAAAGAAUAUUUCAUACCCUGUAGCUUAAUGUUAUAAGCCUUUUUAAUGCUGUAGCCUGAAAUGACGUUAAAACCCCUCAUCACAAAGUUCACCAGUGUACUUAUUCAGUAGUAUCCUGCUUAAUAUUCUCUCACAACACAUUUCAACACACAUUUGAUUCUAAAGUAAUGAAUAUAAAUGCAAAAUAAUGAGAAAAGAACUCGAUCCUUCUGGGUCCUUUCGAACUGGGAAUAUUCUGUGAUUCUAUGACUGAGAAAAAAAAAAUACAACAACAACAACAACAAAAAAACACCUCUUCUUAAGUAUUUUGGGUUAAAAAUACUUGUUACUGAUUUGAGAUAGCAAUCUUACUAAGAAAGAUAGCUUUAUAGUUUAAGAUCACUAAAAAGAGAUGGGAGAUAUAAAUCUGGCAAGCAAGUAUAUUCAGUCAUGUAUGUGUAAAUGACUCCAGAUCUGUUUAUUACUGCUGUGCUUUGAAUAUCAAGAAAUACUAAUAAAAUCUCUUUUCAGAGAUAUAUAUAUAUAUGUAGGUACAUAUAUAUGUAUAUUUGUGGGAUGUAUAUAUAUAUAUAUGUACAUAUAUUUAUAUAUAUGUACAUACAUAUCAACUGUUGUUUGUUAAAUUAUGGUCUCUGAAAUAUACUGCAAAUUUGAAUUUAAUGGAAAUGUUAACUGUGAAUUUCUUUUACAAUUUUCCAUCAAGUUAUGUCAGCUGUAUAAAUACAUGUGCUACCAAACAAACAGAGCAUUGGGAUUAGGUCCAGAGACUUGUAUUGUAGUCUCUUGGGACAUUUGAGACACCAAGAAAAAAAAACAAAUGAAAAGGACAGAGAUUUAAGCGUGUUACAAAUGCAGCCAAAGAGCAAAGAAACCUUAUCAGGAGUAAAAGUCAAGUGGAGUGAAAGGCUGUUUUAUUAGAUAAACAUGGAUGAAAAGCAGAGCAGAAGGACUCCGGGGAAGAAAAUAAUGGGAAGAAGUAUACAUUCUUGAGGAGGAUACAUUCGGAGCUCUGACAGAAGGGCAUUUGGGAAGCCCUUUUACUUCUCCAGUGUAGAUCUUGGGUAGAAGGGCAAGGUAGUAGCAGAGGUCAGAAUUGUCUUUGGAAUAAUCAUUACUUCAAAAGGUAAAUUUGAUUGAUGUUGGGGUAAGGAAAUAAACUAUAGCCUCUUAGCAACUGAAGAAAAACAUGCUAAAUCAGUCAUAUUCUAUAAAAUGUUUUUAAAAUCAAUCCCAAGGGCAUUCAGAUCUUGCAAACUUUAAGAACGUAUAAGACUGAAUCAUUGAGAAGACCUUGGUGAUAUAUUAAAAAUCAAUAUGUAUAACAGAAAAAUUCAGAACAAUAUACAUUAUGCUUCUCAACUGGGAAAAUUAACAGCAAAGCAGACUGCAACUUUGUUAUUCUUUCUUUCAAAAUAUUCUCUUUCAAAAUAGUUCUCUUAUGUCCUCGAUUUCUGAGCAUGUGACUGUAAGCAUACAAUACUAUACAUUACUAUAUUUUUAAACAUCCAAUAUGCUCACUGUUAAAUUCACAUUCUGUUACUGAUAGAAACACAAUCCUAUUUUAGAAUAGUAUAGAAAUCCCUAGUCAGAUAUUAGACUUCUAAUGGAGAUCUAUAGCCAACAUUGCUCACGGAAAAGGCAUAGCUAAACUAGGAAUUGUGUUUGACACUGUAGUUUAACAAUGUGACAUCAAUAGCAUUAUGGCUAGAGAAAUGCAAAGCAGCACCACAUACACUUACCAGCUUAGUCAACUGAAUGUCCUUAGCAGUAUAUGCUUUACAAAGAUGUCAAAUUUACAGCUUCACAAAGAUAUCAGCUAAUUGUAUUUUAAGAAUCGAUAAAGGUGUGGUCUAUUUUGGCAGAAAUAACCCAGGCUGCAUCCAUUUUUUUUUUUUCCUACUCUGUAACUCAGGAAGGAUGAGAUAUGAAUAAGAAAUUGCCAUAGUUUGGCCAAUAAAACGAAAACUGAAAUAACUGUCAAAGCAGUACUGCUAAAAGUUGCCAAUCACAGUUGAACCACACAUUUAAAACUGAAAGUGGGUAAAUCUAUUUUUGUUAUGAAUGUGGAAUCGAUAAAUCAUACACUAACCAAUAAAUGGAGUGUAUUUCUAGAUCAUUGCUUUCUAUUCUGUUUAGAUUUAUUGUUUUCUAGUUUGAUCCUAAAGUGGCUGUCAAGGAGCCUUUACCGAUCUCAAGCUUUCCAAAGCAUUACUGCUGGUCAGACUUAUGCUGUCUAAUAAGGCACAUGGGCAAGUUAGGGAUGGAAGCAUGUUUAUUUGUCUUGUAUUUUCCUAAGCAAAUUGGUCUCACAAGCAACCUAAUUGCAUAUGUUAAAAGAAAAAAAAUAAUCCAUCCUUAAUUUAGAGGCAAUGUAAGAUGAAAUAAAGCAUUGAGAGGGAAGAGUAAGAAGAAAAGGAGAAUAUGAGAGGGCAUGUAAGAUAGGCUGUUUGUAGCAGAUCUUCAAAGAACUGUCAUUUCUGAUAGGAGUCUCUUAAACAGCUACAUAUUCAACAUUCACCAAGAGAAAGAGAACUUUUGAUCCCUUUGAAAUUCAUGCACUAUUACUUAGAAGUUAAAAAAUUCUAGUGCAUAAUAUUUUCCUGAUGAAGUUGAAAGAUAAUGUCUUUAGGUAGAGUAUAGAUGGGGAGAUAGCGGGACAAAAGCAUAUAUUCAGGGAAAGCAAUUACCUUGUAUUACUGGAAGUAAAAUACUAAAUCAUGUGUUUCAUAAAGGGUCUUAUUAUUUUCUGCACAUUAUUGAGGCAAUACUUCUGUUUUUUUUUAAUAGUAAAAAAUAUUUUCUUAGCCAAGCCUUACAUGCUACUAAAUGCUAUUCCUGCUUAAUGGAGGUCAUGACAUUUGCAGUUACAGAAGUAGGGUGACAAAUAAUCCCACUUGAAACAGCUCUUCACUUUCUGUCAUUGAGCUGUAUAUCACAGUCACAAUGAACACAGUCUCAAAAUACCUUCACUUACUUUUUCUGAGGCCAAAGAAGAUAGCCUCUGAGAACUCUGUUUUCCUCAGGUUUUCUCAAGUUUGAAUUCUUCUUGCAAUAAGUCUGGUAAAGUAAGUUUACGUUAAUAUUCAGAUAAAAGCAUUCUGUUUCAGUGCUGAGAUAUCUGAAGAGAUCUUUGGAUGUGGAAGCUUCCACCCUGCUCAAAACACUGUCAGCUUCAAAAGAAAUUAAGAGUUUCCCAACUUCAGCUCACUUCUAGUAAAUGUUUAAAACUUCAUAAAGUUUUAUACAUAAGCAUGUAAAGAAUGUGUAUGGUUUCAUUCAGCCUCCUGCUCCGGACAGUAUACAGAACUGAAUCAUAUAUCUUUCCUUAGCAUUUAUGAAAUGCACAAAAUAUUCCAAAUUCAUCACUUCUUGUUAAUGCUCCUUUAAUAGCUUAGUAAUUGCCAUUUACUGGAGCAUUGCUUAUCAUAAAUUGCUAAUGUUUUUAUUUUAUUGUUAGAUUUUAUUUAAUAAGGCUUUAUUUCUUCUGUGCUCAUGUAAUUUAUAUUCUGUAAUUUAAUUAUAUGACAACUUGCUUGUUUUUCC
rnacentral:lncRNA from 1 species